rnacentral:rRNA from 1 species
UACAGAGGUGGCAAGCGUUGUUCGGAAUUACUGGGCGUAAAGGGCGCGUAGGCGGCCUUCUAAGUCAGACGUGAAAUCCCCCGGCUUAACCUGGGAACUGCGUCUGAUACUGGAGGGCUUGAGUGCGGGAGAGGGAUGUGGAAUUCCAGGUGUAGCGGUGAAAUGCGUAGAUAUCUGGAGGAACACCGGUGGCGAAGGCGGCAUCCUGGACCGGCAUUGACGCUGAGGCGCGAAAGCCAGGGGAGCAAACGGG